rnacentral:lncRNA from 1 species
UGGAAAGUCUAUCUCAGAAGCUGGCUCUGUUGUCUCGUCAACUAUGAUGUGGAUCUGGUCUACAUAUUUACAAGUGUGAACCACGGCAGCCAGCAGUUACUGGCCCCUGGUCCAACAAAGCAAAAUCUGUGAGCUAUUGCCGCGGGAUGGGGAAAAGAGCACUAUGGGGGACAAUGGUAAAGAUGAAGUUUUGAGGACCCCUGAAGAGAAUCCUGCACUGCACCAACACUGAGGAGAAGGAAACUUCAUUUCCCACAGUGUGAAUCCUCCUCACCUCCGUACUGAGAAGGUGCUUCUAGUCCAUGUCUGAGGACCUCCGUGGGCAGAGUACCACCUGGGGUGGUUUGGUGUUGCUGCUGCACAAUUUAUUGUGAACUACAAAUUGUCUCUCCAGAACCUCUACACACAGAACAGCCCCAGUUCUGUCCUCUGAAAUGACACAAAGAAAGUCUGGCAGUUCUUCCAUGUGAAGGUGAUUCCGCAUCAGGCCUCUGGACCUCGCCCUGGAGCUGUGGCUUCCGAGGAUGGUUACAAUCACAGAUCCAGUCCUGAGGUUACUGUAGGUGGUCAAGAGCACACUGUGAGAACUUGAUUUAAAGUCCUAAAAUUCACAGCAUCGUUACCAGGCGGUGUGCCGUCUGAGCAAGAGCUGGAGUGACAGGAGAUGAGAGCAAGGAUCCCACAGAGGAUUCCUGAAGGCUGCACCCGGGGCUUCCACACGGCUGGAAGCUCCACACGGUCUCUGCUCCAGGGCUCACCGCUUCCGUCUAUCCAGCCCUGGAUUCCAUUUUGACACUUCAUACAACACUUCAGAGCUCUCAAAGAAUCCAGAAUGUUAUUUUAUGUAAUUUGAUUUUGAAAUUAGAAAGUGACAUUGUGCCACAGAAAACAAGAAUAUGAUGAUAUGUAUUCAUGGAAUCCACUCUUCUGCACAGCUUUGUGACAUCUACAGGUAUGGACUCUGAAACAGAAGCCAUCUGCCAUAUACCAGCUGUGUGACACUGGGCAAAUUUCUCAAUCUCUCUAAACCUGGGUUUCCUUUUCUAUAAUAUGCAGAUAACAUACUGUAGACCUUAGGAAAAUUAAUUCUCACGAAGAGCUAAGCUCAGUGCCUGGUACAGAGGAUGAAUAAAGAUUUGUUGUUCUUAAACUUUA